GCGACGCACUUGGAGGAUGAAUAGCUAAGCUAAUUAUAUAUAUGUAUAUAAUAUCAACUAUGUUUGAGUAAAAUUCUAGUUAAUAUUUGAUUAUGACAUUUAUUAGCUAUAGGUCUUGACCAAAUCUCGUGCCAGCAGUCGCGGUAAGACGUGGAAGACAAGUGUUAUUCAUCUUUAAUAGGUUUAAAGGGUACCUAGACGGUAUAUCUAGCAAAAAAUGUACGGAUAUAACUAGAGUUUAAUAUAAAGGAAGGUAGAAUUUAUGGUGUAAAGAUAAAAUAUGCUGAUACCAUAAGGACUAUUAAAGCGAAAGUAACCUUAAAAAAAGUAUAUAGUAGUAAUUUAUAAUUAUACUAUAACUAUCUAUGUAUAAACUGACGUUGAGGGACGAAGGCCUGGGGAGCGAGAAGGAUUAGAUACCCUAAUAGUCCAGGCAGAAAAUUAUGAAUGUCAUAAGUUAGAUAUUUAAUUUAUAAAUGAAAGUGCAAGCAUUCCACCUUAAGAGUAAUGCGGCAAGGCAGGAACUGAAAUCAUUAGACCGUUUCUGAAACCAGUAGUGAAGUAUGUUAUUUAAUUCGAUGACCCGCGAAAAACCUUACCACAUUUUGAAUAUGUUUACAAGUGCUGCACGGCUGUCUUCAGUUAAUAUCGUGAGAGCUAGGUUAACUCCGCUCAAAUUAAUGUAAACCCUUACUUUAUUUUUUUUUUUUAAUAAAGUAAUAAGUCGCUACAAGUGACUAUGCUAAGAGGGAUUAAGACAAGUCAUCAUGGCCUUUAUAUUGUGGGCUAUAA
rnacentral:rRNA from 1 species